UCAUAUGUACAUGCCGUAAAUGUUAAUGCACCAAACCCCAUUAGAACUCCGCAAAUAAGCGUGCUUUGGCUACAGUAGUACUGGGAUCGGUGACCUCCUAGGAAGCGUUAGUUUUUUACAUGCC
rnacentral:rRNA from 1 species